CCUACGGGGGGCAGCAGUGAGGAAUAUUGGUCAAUGGACGAGAGUCUGAACCAGCCAAGUAGCGUGAAGGAUGACUGCCCUAUGGGUUGUAAACUUCUUUUAUAUGGGAAUAAAAUGUUCCACGUGUGGGAUUUUGUAUGUACCAUAUGAAUAAGGAUCGGCUAACUCCGUGCCAGCAGCCGCGGUAAUACGGAGGAUCCGAGCGUUAUCCGGAUUUAUUGGGUUUAAAGGGAGCGUAGGUGGAUUGUUAAGUCAGUUGUGAAAGUUUGCGGCUCAACCGUAAAAUUGCAGUUGAAACUGGCAGUCUUGAGUACAGUUGAGGUGGGCGGAAUUCGUGGUGUAGCGGUGAAAUGCUUAGAUAUCACGAAGAACUCCGAUUGCGAAGGCAGUUCACUAGACUGCAACUGACACUGAGGCUCGAAAGUGUGGGUAUCAAACAGGAUUAGAUACCCUAGUAGUC
rnacentral:rRNA from 1 species